rnacentral:rRNA from 1 species
GUGCUAAGGUAGCAUAAUAAUUUGCCUUUUAAUUGAAGGCCAGAACAAAAGAUUUAACAUUUUAAUUAAUUUAUCAAUUUUCACUUCUAAAUUAUUUUAAAUGUAAAAAAACAUUUAUAAAAAAGAAAGACGACAAGACCCUAUUGAACUUUACUUUAGUUUAACUGGGGUAGUAAAUUAAUUAUUAUUUUAAUAAAAAUAUAAAAAAAAAAAUCUAAUAAAAUUAAAUAAACAAGUUACCAUAGGGAUAACAGCGUAAUAAAUUUUUAUAGAUYUUAUAAAAAAAAAAGUUUACGACCUCGAUGUUGAAUUAAUUAUCUAAAACACGCAAAAGUAUUAAAAGAAAGUCUGUUCGACUUUUAAACAAUUACAUGAUUUGAGUUCAAACCGGUGUAAGCCAGGUUGGUUUCUAUCUUCUAAAAAAUUAUUUACAGUACGAAAGGACCAAAAAAAUUAAUAUUAUUAAUAAAUUGGCAGAAUAUUGCAUUAGAAUUAGAAUCUAAAUAAACAAAU